UGGGGAAUCUUCCGCAAUGGGCGAAAGCCUGACGGAGCAAUGCCGCGUGAGUGAAGAAGGCCUCGGGUUGUAAAACUCUGUCCUUAUCGAAGAGAGGUAGGUAUGUGAAUAAUGUACCUAUAGGACGGUAGAUAAGGAGGAAGCCCCGGCUACUACGUGCCAGCAGCCGCGGUAAUACGUAGGGGCGAGCGUGUCCGGAAUUACUGGGCGUAAAGCGCUCGUAGGUAGUAUAUCAAGUCAAGGGUGAAAUCCCCGCGCUCAACGUGGGAACUGCCUUUGAAACUGGUAGACUUGAGUGUGUGAGAGGAUAGUGGAAUUCCAGGUGUAGGAGUGAAAUCCGUAGAUAUCUGGAGGAACAUCAGUGGCGAAGGCGACUAUCUGGCACAUAACUGACACUGAGGAGCGAAGCGUGGGUAGCAAACAGGAUUAGAUCC
rnacentral:rRNA from 1 species